AAUAGAUACCCGGGUAGUCCACGCCGUAAACGAUGAGUGCCAAGUGUUAGAGGGUUUCCGCCCUUUAGUGCUGCAGCUAACGCAUUAAGCACUCCGCCUGGGGAGUACGGUCGCAAGACUGAAACUCAAAGGAAUUGACGGGGGCCCGCACAAGCGGUGGAGCAUGUGGUUUAAUUCGAAGCAACGCGAAGAACCUUACCAGGUCUUGACAUCCCACUGACCGGUAUAGAGAUAUACCUUUCCCUUCGGGGACAGUGGUGACAGGUGGUGCAUGGUUGUCGUCAGCUCGUGUCGUGAGAUGUUGGGUUAAGUCCCGCAACGAGCGCAACCCUUGAUCUUAGUUGCCAGCAUUUAGUUGGGCACUCUAAGGUGACUGCCGGUGACAAACCGGAGGAAGGUGGGGAUGACGUCAAAUCAUCAUGCCCCUUAUGACCUGGGCUACACACGUGCUACAAUGGAUGGUACAAAGGGCUGCAAGACUGCGAAGUCAAGCCAAUCCCAUAAAACCAUUCUCAGUUCGGAUUGCAGG
rnacentral:rRNA from 1 species